rnacentral:lncRNA from 1 species
AAGGAAAGACAUGAAUUUGCAAAAGUUUAUAUAAGAUGUUUGGUUUGAGCAUGGUUAUGAACCUGUGGGGGUCCUUAUUGCAGGAGAUGAUUAGGAUAAUAGAGUGAAGCCGAAGUUCGAUAAAAAAACUGAAGUUUAUGCUUUGAAUUUUGACUCUUUACUUGAAAAAGAAAAACUGAGUAUAUGUAGAAUCAUUUGAUCUAAAUAGGUCUUUGCAUCUUCGAUUUUCUUACAUUACUUAAUAUUGGUAGCACGAGAGUUUAGCAUUUUUGGCACAUACACAACAGAUCUUGUUCACAAUCUUUUUCCACCAUUCGGUUUGACUCAUGAAAACCGGUUUAGUAAUCCUUAAAUUGCUCUAUUGGGGCUUCACCGG